rnacentral:lncRNA from 1 species
CCCCGUCACAGUGGGGAAUGUGUGGUCACACCCCAACUUCCUCCAUUAUUCCAGCUGUGACCUUUACAGCCGCUUUCCCUCUGCUCCGGCUUCGGUCAAAGAUCACACACCGCGUUUGUCUGCUGAGCCUGCAGCUUUAGCAUCCGUGACAACCCUCGCUGGAAUUGCUGUAUUCGCGGUUGUAAACUAUUCUUCAUACGCAUCAUUUCAAAGGCGGUCCUCCAUAUUCUCCCUCUGGGAUCCUUCGCUUGCCUUGGCGCUUGGCAGAUUUGCUUCCGACAGGCUCAUACCCCACGCAUCCGCCUCUGUCCACAACCGUCGCGCGUGCUCGUUCCCGGUCUUCCUUACCUCUCAACGUUCAGUUUCCCCAAACUGUGGCCUGCUGACGUCCACUGCUCCUUCACGACUUGCUCCACAGCCUUCCUGCCUGCCGCAGCCCAUGCAUCAAGAGGAGUCCGUGUGGCGAUAUUUUUCUUUCCACCUUUCUUUUUGGUUUACAUUUUCCAUAAUGAGAAGACCUUAUAUCUAUGCUGCUAAAUUUCUAUGCAUAUGUUAUGGCACCCAUUUGUCCCUAGGAAAUAAUACAAACUUACGUUGCCUUCAGACUUCUGCCUCUUAGAAGCCUCUUCAGAACCUGACAUUUUGAUUCAACUUCUUCGUCUUGAAAGCCUCCCUGUGUCUGAGAAUCAUGGAGUUGCUUGACCAAUUCUCCGUGGUCUCCUAGUAUUCAUGGGCCUUUAUUGUUUUUAAUGAGAGUUGUGUCCCUUUACCCCGUU